ACGGCUCAGUAACACGUAGCUAACCUACCCUUAGGACGUGGAUACCCCCGAGAAAUUGGGGUUAAUCCGCGAUAGAUGUAAUGUCCUGGAAUGGUAUUACGUCCAAAGGUAUUUCAUACAUGUUUGAAAUAUGCCUAAGGAUGGGGCUGCGGCCGAUCAGGCUGUUGGUGAGGUAAUGGCUCACCAAACCUUUGACCGGUACGGGCCAUGAGAGUGGUAGCCCGGAGAUGGACACUUGAGACAAGGGUCCAGGCCCUAAGGGGCGCAGCAACCGCGAAACCUCCACAAUGCACUCACGUGCGAUGGGGCUAUCUCGAGUGCCACCUGAUGAAGGUGGCUUUUCCUUGGUCUUCAAAGCCUUGGGAAUAAGAGGGGGGCAAGACUGGUGUCAGCCGCCGCGGUAACACAAGCCCCUCGAGUGGUGGGGAUGAUUAUUUGGCCUAAAGCGUCCGUAGCCGGCCGAGCAAGUCUUCCUGUUAAAUCCAGCGUCUCAAGCGUUGGACUGCGGGAGAUACUACACGGCUAGAGAGUGGGAGAGGUCAGCGGUAUUCUGGGGGUAGGGGCGAAAUCCUUUGAUCCCCGGAGGACCACCAGUGGCGAAGGCUGCUUGACUAGAACACGUCUGACGGUCAGGGACGAAAGCUGGGGUAGCUGAACCGGAUUAGAUACCCGGGUAGUCCCAGCCGUAAACGAUGCAUGCUAGGUGUUGGGUUGGCCACGAGCCACCCCAGUGCCGCAGGGAAGCCGUUAAGCAUGCCGCCUGGGAAGUGCGAUCGCAAGAUUGAAACUUAAAGGAAUUGGCGGGGGAGCAC
rnacentral:rRNA from 1 species